AGAGACAGCAGUAGCCACGGGAAUACAGAGGGUGCGAGCGUUAAUCGGAUUUACUGGGCGUAAAGCGUGCGUAGGCGGCUUUUUAAGUCGGAUGUGAAAUCCCUGAGCUUAACUUAGGAAUUGCAUUCGAUACUGGGAAGCUAGAGUAUGGGAGAGGAUGGUAGAAUUCCAGGUGUAGCGGUGAAAUGCGUAGAGAUCUGGAGGAAUACCGAUGGCGAAGGCAGCCAUCUGGCCUAAUACUGACGCUGAGGUACGAAAGCAUGGGGAGCAAACAGGAUUAGAUACCCGCGUAGUCCCUGUCUCUUAUAA
rnacentral:rRNA from 1 species